CAAUUUCUGGCCGCUAAAACCUCCCAUUUUAAAAAAACCAUCUUGAUCUCAGGACUGAAUCCAAGCUAUUCCAAAAAAAAAAAAAUGGCUGACGCUCUUAUCAGCUCCACAAUUCAGGUCACCUUGGAAAGGGCACUGUCUCUUGCCUCUGAUAGGAUUGGUUUGCUGGUUGGCUUCAAGAAGGAUGUGGCCGGCAUGACACGUUCUCUCCGCCUGAUCAAUGCUGUCUUGGCUGAUGCUGAAGCAAAGCAAAACCAGGACGGAGCAGUGCAAGAAUGGUUGAAUAGUCUCGAGGAGGUUGCUUAUGAUGCUGACAAUGUGUUGGAUGAGCUCCACUAUGAAUCUCUUCGUCACCAGGUGGAGUCCCGAAACCGACACAAGCUCAAGGUAUGCUGCUUCUUCUCCUUCUCUAACAUUAAUCUUGCUCUUCGUUGGAGAAUGGCUUCUAAGGUCAGGGACAUCAAAGAUAAGUUGAAUGAGAUCAAUCAACGAGCCCAUGGAUUGCUACUGGUCAGUAGGGCAGUCGUGACAGCUGCCCUCCCUGCUGCUCCUCCUGCUGGAGACACGAGAAAUCGGCAGACCGACUCUGUUGUUGCUCCAAUGGUUGGAAGAGCCGAUGAUGAAUCAAAGAUAGUGAAGAUGUUGUUGAGCCGUCCGAGAAGGUUGUUUCUGUUCUUCCCAUAAAUGGUAUGGGAGGUCUAGGCAAAACAACUUUGGCUAAAUCGAUAUACAACAAUCACCAAAUUGAUGGGCACUUUCAGAAAAAGAUUUGGGUUUGCGUAUCGGAAAAAGUUCCAAGGGUGGAGCUUUUCAAACUCAUUUUAGGCCAAUUGAAUGACAAAAAGGAUGAAGUGGGAGAUAGGCAAAACAUCGUUCAAGAAGUUGGGAAGGAACUAGGGAAAUUAAGAUAUCUCCUGGUUCUAGAUGAUGUGUGGGAUGAUAGUCAGACAUUGUGGGAUGACUUCUUCAACACCUUGACGGGACUCAAUCCAAUCAAUCCACCCAAAGGAAGCUGGUGUCUAAUCACUACUCGUUUGCAUCUAGUAGCACAUAAAGGCUAUCCCUUAGGAAGACUACCGGGCGAUCAUUGUUGGUCUAUCCUAAAAGGAAAAGUAGUUGACGGGGAAGAAGUGCCUAAUGAAUUGGAUGCAAUUAAAGACAGAGCUAUACAAAUAUGUAAUGGAUUACCACUGGUUGCAAGUGUACUUGGUGGUUUGUUGCGCUUGAGGAAAGACAAAUGGCGAUCAAUUUUGGAGGAUAGACUUUUGAAUUUGAAUGAAGCCAUGCAAAUACUUCAGUUGAGUUUUGAUAAUCUACCAUCACCAGCCAUCAAGAAAUGUUUUGCUUAUUGUUCUAUUUUUCCCAAGGAUGCUGAGAUGGAAGGGGAUAUGCUGAUCGAACUUUGGAUGGCAGAAGGCUUCCUUCAAGUAGAUCUCAAGAACAAAACAAUGGAGGAAAUUGGAGAAUAUUACUUGGAAAUUUUAUUGCAGAGUUCUUUGCUGGAAGAAAUAAGAUAUGAUGAGAGAAGGUGUUAUAAAAUGCAUGAUAUGGUGCACGACGUCUCAAAAUCAAUAAUGUCAAAGUCUACUAAAGUCAUUAAUUCGGAGAUUGGUUCAGAAGACAAUAGUAAUCAGGUUCGUUGUCUUGUAAUAGAAUCAUUUGGAGAUGGCGCAAAAAAUCUUUUUGAGAGUCGAUCAAAUUUGCUUCAUACAUUGUUUCUAAGUCAGGGUAGCUUAUCUGAUGAUAUGCUAACGAAGUUGAAGAAUUUGCACGUUCUGAAAUUGUCUGGUGUACAAAAUCAGAAUCUGCCAAUCUCAAUUGGCAAACUGACACACUUGAGGUACAUCAACUUUGAGGGUUGUACAAUUGAAACUUUGCCGGAAUCUGUUUGCAAACUUUAUAAUUUGCAGACACUGAGGCUAAAGAGAUUCGUUCUUAAAGUUCUUCCGAAGGGGACGUGCGAUUUGAUUAGCUUGAGGCAUCUCCACUUUUACACCACUAAAGAAUUUCAAAUGCCACUGAAUAUGGGACGGCUGACUUGCCUUCAGACACUCGAGUUCUUUAAUGUGGGUCGAGAGAAGGGUCGACGAAUUGGAGAGCUUGGAAGCUUGAAGAACCUCAAAGGCAAAUUAAUUAUACACAAUCUUGAAUUAGUAAAGGAUAAGGAAGGAGCUGAGGAAGCAAAAUUAUCUGAAAAGACAAAUCUAUUUAGGCUGCAACUUGAGUGGGCCCAUGAUCUAGAAGGUGACGACUACAACGACAAAGAUGUGUUAGAUGGCCUUCGACCCCACCCAAAUUUGGAGGGUUGUUAAUCUUUUUUUUUAUGGGCGAUCAAUUUCCUCGAUGGUUAAUUUUGCCAACAACAAAACACUCCUCGAGUCAGCAACAACACUCCCAAGUUAGCGCGUUUGGAAUUUAAUCACUGCAACAGAUGUCGAGAACUCCUUCCCCUGCAAACUUUAUGUCUCUUACAGAGCUGCAGAUUGAUGGUUGCGAUGUGGUUGACGAAUCUGCCAGGUGACAUGCUACACUUAUGUAUCUCCAGGAGCUUCGGGUGACUAAUUGCAAAUCUUAUCUCCUUUCCACUUGAUUUGCAACAAACGCCUUCUCUCCUGUUGCUGGUAUUAACCUGUUGUCCCAAACUGAAAACAAGCAUGACGCCCAAAGGAUUUGGUUUCUGACCAGCUAAGGGAGCUUGAAAUUGGUCCCUUCUCAGAUGAUGGUGAUGAUCAUGAAAAUUCUUCAAUUUACAAUGAGUUUAUUGGUCUGGAUUGAUAUCCCCUCCUCCUCCUCUUCGUCAUCCGCACUCCGUAAAUUAGGAUUAAUUGGGUUGCACACAUGGAGGCCCUGCCACAUCAGAUCCAAUACUUGACCACUCUCACGUCAUUAACUCUGGCGUGACUUUGGAGGUAUAAAAGCUCUGCCGGAAACUUCGCUGCUCUGAAAAGUGGUUAAUUGGUUUCAAAGAGCUUCGACAUCUACCCUCUGAGGAUGCCAUGAGAAGUCUCACCAAACUAAAACUUCUGUGGGUUUAUCGUUCUCCUCUGUUAAGAAGAAGAUGCACUCCUGAGAGCAGCCCCGACUCCCAGUGGUCCAAAGUUUCUCACAUUCAACACCUACGCAUAAUCGGUUAAUAACCACUAUCUUCAGAUCAAAUUCAAUCAUGAUUGAUAGAAGAAUAGCUUCACGAACAGAGGUCAGAAUUUUGAAACUUCUUCAGCACCGUCUAUAUGGCUAGACCUCAAUAACUUUUGGCCUGAAUUUCCUACAAAUAGCCUAUCAACGUUUAGAACAACUAGCAGUCUAUUUUUGUUUAUUUUACGUGCUCUGCUUCUGUGGAUUUUAAGUUAUUAUUGCUAAAGUCAUCUCACUCUGUUUAAAAUUGUGAUUCUAAGGGGACUGAACUUUUACCUCUUGAUAAUGAACUUGCAUAUUUAUCUGAACUAUUUGACUAGUAAUUGCUCCAUCAGAGUCAUAUAUGAUGGUUUUCUGGCUCACUUCUCCUUGAUUUUGGCUUUUUAGCCAUGAAGACAAUGGUCAAUUGAGGAGUUUUUGCAGCUGUUGGUCAUCACUUUCAUGUUUGGUUAAAAAUUCUGAAAUCUUGUCAUCACGAAGAUAUUUUUGAGGUAGCCAAGGAAGGUGUACUCUUUGAGCAACGAAGUUGCACAAAACUUGGUGGAGUAUCUUCCAACAUUUAACUCUAAGCGCAAUGUUUUGAAGCAUUCCGGUGGUUGGUCAAGUCUGCUUGUUCCGACUUGCUACUGUUAAUGAAUCCACCUUGAUAAAGGCUUUUAAGCUCUCUCUGCUUUUAUGAUUGUUGGUUGCUUCUUUUUUUAUGUUUGCAGUGAUUUUGGGCACAAAGCUCAACAGGGAACCUCAUCGAUGGCUCUUACGUACUAUCUUUACUUUUUGAAAGUCCUACAAUUCGUUGCUGAACAAGAUCCUGCUUCGGCUGAAUAGCAACAUCUAGGAUGGCAUUCUCUCUUUCUCUGUGCCUCAGAUGGUCAAAGUCUGAGAUAUCCAUUGGGAAAUGAUUAGGAUGGCACCCUACAGGCACACUUUUCUUUCUUCCUGGUGUCUAAAACCUGAUAAAAUGGUCUAUCUUUGUCAGUUGGCCUCUACAAACUGCCCACUAGAAUUUCUUUCCCCAGCUUAUGUAAUGUCUUUCAAGAUCAAGAGCCAUCAUUACCAUGAAUUUCUGCUGAUGAUCAUGGGGGGUUUGGUUGGCGAUAGAGCUUGUAUUAGAGAAAUAGAUUGACAAUGAGGAGCUUGCAAAUUUUCAAGAAAUACUGUAAGGUGAUAGAAAUUGUACAAUAAGAUGAUUUUGUUGCAAAACAUCUGAAGGUUUAAAACGUCUGCUUCCAAGAUGUUGUCUAGUAAUGUAACAGUAAGGUGUUCAAGAGGAGAUUAUUUGAUGUGGACAGUUAAACAUGAUGUCAAAGCUGAAAACUUUGUAUUUUCAUCUACGUGACUUUACUUUUGAAAGUCUUUCUUGCCUUGAAAGUAUAUCAUCUGAUAAUUGGAACAACAACAGAGUAGGUCUGCCAAGUUGGACGCAGAGUCGGCCCUUUCUUCCUCUUCAUCAUGAUUGAAAGUUAUAGGAGUUUCCCAGAGCUGUUGGUCAUCAAAUUGGUUUUUUGAUUCUAAGAGUCCGCCAUGGAAGAUGUACUGUUCAUGCAGUGAAGCUGCACAGACUUGUUAUAGUAUCUUCUAACACAAUCAAGUCUAAGCUGCAAGUUUUGAAGCAUAUCGCUGUGGUUAGUCAAGACUGCCAAGCAUGCUUGUUGGCUGCAAUUAAUUCAUCCGCUGUGAUGAUGGCUAUUAAGCUCAUUCUACCACCUAUACUUGUUGAUAUUGCUCAUCUCUUCAUGUGAUUUUACACUCGAAGAUCAACAUUAACCUUGAUAGCUCGCUCUUACUAUCAUUUGUAAUGAAGUCCUGUGAUCCCUUGUUGAACCAGAUCCUGAUUCAGUAAGAUCAGAUGAAAACAUCCCGGAUGGAACUCCCUUUUGCUCUCUGCCUCGGAUGGCCAAAGCCUCAGAUCUUCCUUGCCGGCUGUGAUUUUAAACUGUCCAACCGAUUCAGCAAUUUGUAGACAUGUUAAUGAGGUGCUCUUUUACUUCUUUUGGAACACAAUUUGCCAUAUCUUCCGUGCUGCUUGUACUUCAAAGUAGCCAGUCUUUUGCAGCAGAAAGAUGUGGAUUAGCUGAACCCUGCUAGAUAACUUGCAUCCUUCUUGAAAGUUGUAUAUUUGGCUAUUCGUGUUGAAUUCCGUUAUACUGAGCUAAAUGUUAUUUUCAUGCUCACUCUCUGUUAAUUUAAUGAAACUGACAUCAACUUCCUGAUUGAAUUCGUAUCAGUAAACUCUAGUUGAUAUGGCAUUUUUAAUC